GACGAACGCUGGCGGCGUGCCUAAUACAUGCAAGUAGAACGCAGUGGGGACGGGUGAGUAACACGUGGGUAACCUCCCAUCAGAGGGGAUAACACUUGGAAACAGGUGCUAAACCAAUACCGGCGGAGGGUUCCGCGGUGGAUUAGCUAGUUGGUGAGGUAACGGCUAACCAAGGCCACGAUGCAUAGCCGACCUGAGGGGUUGAUCGGCCACACUGGGACUGAGACACGGCCAAGACUCCUACGGGAGGCAGCAUGAGGGAAUCUUCGGAAAUGGACGAAAGUCUGACCGAGCAACGCCGCGUGAUUGAAGAAGGUUUUCGGAUCGUAAAACUCUGUUGUUAGAGAAGCGGUAUCUAACCAGAAAGCCACGGCUAACUACGUGCCAGCAGCCGCGGUAAUAC
rnacentral:rRNA from 1 species